rnacentral:lncRNA from 10 species
CUGAAUCCAAGCUUUCAUCCAGCUUUUAAGGGAAACUAAUAUCUCAUGAAAUUGUGAGGGCCUGGAAUCUUCAAAGAGCCAAGGAUUCUGCCAGACUGAGCAAUAGACUUGAUGAGCAUUCUCCACUUAAGAUCUGAACUAUGAGAAGUCGAAUCAAAGCAGUUCUUUUGUAAUUCCAAACAGCCAUUUAGACAUAUGAAGAAAUGAAAGUAAAGCAGUUCUAAAGACAAGGAAGAGGGUCAAUGAAAGAUCUACUUAAUCAGAAUCCUGACUGAAUUGACUCUGGGGAUCUGCCUUUUUACCAAGUUGCACAGAGGACCCUUGUGUAAAGUUUGAAAACAGUGUGAUA